UUGAGUAUGCGAAAGAAAAAAUUUGUCCCAACUGGUCUUGCUUGUGGCUUAUCAUUGCCAAGUUCCUGGGCACACACCAGUUCUGUAAUUUGGUAAAAAUAAGCAAGGCCAUUAUAGAAGAGUUAUCCGUGGGUGAUGAGAAGUAGUAUAAUUUUAUCAAUAAUUAUAUUGCUAUGCAGGGUGAUAAGUAUCUUUAUCAAACUGGCACCUAUGUAUGCUUAACUUUUUCAGGAGGACUUCUUAAAUCCAGACGAGUCAUAUAGUCCUCGGAGCCUGCCCGGAACACAGCCAUGCUGCCACGCGUGGGAAGACGAGAUGGUGCGCUUCCACACCACACCAAAAGGUGAAUGCAGUGAAACCUUGCAGUGCCUUGUGUGCAGCAGGACAAGACACAGAGCCAGUCAGCACCCCUGUGAGGCUGCUCAGUUGCAUAGUGGCAUCCAGCCAGUACCCUCUCAUGAGGAAGAAUCAGUUUGCAAGGUACUGAAUAAACCCUUGGGCUCUGCUGUGGAGAGGUGACCACCCAUGAAAACAACUGACAUGAAAAAACCACAAGAAUCACGCAUGCCCCUCCAGUCUGAAUAUGGAACAGCACUAAUUAGGACUUGGACAAUAAAAGCCUUGGCCAAAGACCACAAGGACUUCACAGACCUGCAGAAAUGGGGAGAGCUGGGGAAGAUUACUAGGCUGUGUAACGGUCUAAAGAAGAUCAGCCUUGAACACUCAAAGGAAAAUCUGCCUGCUCUGAAUAUUGCCUGAGGAUCUAGAAGGGUCUUUCUUGGAAACAGAAGAACAAGAUGAAACAAUCAUCUGUAAAGCAUGGAACUGAAAAGCUGGUUGUCUGAGACCAGAAAUGAAUGACUGCCAGGGGUUCUUAUGCUGCUCGAUGCAUUUCCAGUGUCUUGCCAGAAGAACUUUC